AUUUUGCAGCAUUUUUUUAAGUAUCUCAGAAAAUAAAUGGGCCAGAGGCGGCUGCAAAGUGCGCAUGCAGCAUUCUGGGCCCGGAGGUUAUACAUGGGAGUGAGAACAGUCGAGAGAAAAGAACAGAAAGCCAGACUCGUCUGGUGGACUGAACUGAUCUCUUGGCGGUUUUCGCCUCCAGCUGCGACGUAAGUCUCAGCACCCGGGAGUUCUUAGCUUUGCUUCGAACUACUGGGAUGGCCUCGCGUAUUUACGCUCAAGUCUCGGGCUGACAACGUCUCCCCGAGCAAGGUGAAACAGUGGAUUACUAGGCAAUGCCAAAUCCCAAAAACCUAAGAUCAUUUCGAUCUAUUUGCUACGAGUCAGUGGACAAUCAUACAAAAUAACUUCUUU
rnacentral:misc_RNA from 1 species